AGGACACUCGAAGCUUGUAUCCGGUGGCCCUUUUCUCUAAAUUUGCGACCACAUUCUGAACAGCCAAAUUGUUUUUGUCCUUUGUGAAUUAUCAUGUCUUGUCAGCGUGCCCUUUUGUCCAAAUCUUUGACCACAUUAGGAACACACAAAUUGUUUUUGUACUGUAUGAAUGAUCAUGUGUCUUGUCAGCGUGCCCUUUUGUCCAAAUCUUCGACCACAUUCAGAACAGCCAAAUUGUUUGUGUCCUGUGUGAAUUAUCAUGUGUCUGUUCAGGUCGCCCUUUUGUCCAAAUCUUUGAUCACAUUCAGAACACACAAAUCGUUUUUGUCUUGUAUGAAUUAUCAUGUGUCUUUUCAGGUGGCCCUUUUCUCUAAAUCUGCGACCGCAUUCAGAACAGCCAAAUUGUUUUUGUCCUGUGUGAAUUAUCAUGUGUCUUGUCAGCGUGCCCUUUUGUCCAAAUCUUUGACCACAUUCAGAACACACAAAUUGUUUUUGUACUGUAUGAAU